CUGCUCCAGGCCCGAGGGAAGGUGAGGCCAGAGGAAGGUGUGAUACAAGUUUGUCUCAUAUAUUAUUUUUUUUUCUUCCUCCUGCUGGACCUAGCGGGAGCCAGCCUGUAGACUUGGAGUUUUUAAAUUUACUCGUGAUCCAAAGCGUGAGACACCCUGUAAACCUGGAUCUUGCUAUCGCCCGGGUGCCCCUGCGUGCCACCUGCAUGAGUACAGCUAGAAAGGCUCAGAGCAGAGCCAGCGGCGCUGAACGAGUCUGCUACUGUUCAAAUAAAUCAUAUAGCAAAGCAAGAAUGUAUCCUGUCUCCUCCUAAAGCAGACCACAAUUACUGCAAAGAAGCUGUCCGCUCAUUACUGCAAGCUCUGGGGAAAAGGAGUGACAGAAUAUAGACCAGUAUAGGAGACGAGCGUUAGUCUAGAGAGACCCUUGCUGCGGCAAGUAUAAUAUGUAAAUUCCAACAUUAAGCACUUUGGAAAAAGUCCAAAAGAUGAAGAUACAUACAUUACUGCUGCUAGGGGGAAGGAAGGGAAUCUUAAAUGUCUCUACAGAGAAUGUUUACUUGGUGGUUUUUUUUCCUUCCCUUUUUUAAAGGGCAAGACAGCUGUGAGUGAGAAACUUUACACUUAGACUAGACAUUGGAAUCAGGUUUAAUGUUAGUUUAUCCUGUUUUUAGCUGGGUUAAAGUUUAGAUGUAGAUAGGGAUGCAUAUGUACCCACUCCUGCUAAUGACCUGAAAUCACUAACAUCUGAUAGCCCUUAGAAAAAGCUAAAAUGAAGUUACUGGCUCAGCUGACUUCAUGGCAGACAAUUGGUCCUGCCUCAGAGCCUGUCUUCACAAUUAGUACCGAUUAACAGUCACGCUGCCACCAAUACUGCACAGAGACUGGAAAGUAAAAUACAGUCUUGGAGACUCUAUGAGGUCCCUUACAAAACCAAAAUGUCUUCAAAAAGCAGCUGAUCCUGCUUUGCCUGCUCUGAUGAUGGACAACUGUGUUCUUUGUUUUAGUCCUUUCCCUUCACUCCUGUGCCCGAUACUGCACGUUUUGUAAUGCCAAAGCAGCUUUUAAAAGCCCCACCCCCAAGUAUUUUAGCAGGUUAAUCUACUAGAAGUAUUCUAACAAAACACAAAGUAAACAGUGAUAUCUGUCGUAGAAUGAUUUCUGCUGUGUUUAUGCUUGCGUUUUGAAAACCCAGAACAUUACUAGAUAACUAGAUGUAGAUUAUUCUAGGUACACCUGAAGAGAUCUGUUCCUGGUGUUUUGGAAAGGGCCAGGUUCUGAGGGAAAGAAUUGGCCUGUUGUGAUGAGUAGAGCUGGAUUCUUGUAAUAAAGAAUACUGAUUCCUAGGCACGUAUCCCUCUAAAAAUUUUGAACUAACUAAACGAAAACCAUGAUUGUGUUAAAAUGGGAAAGAUGAUUAAUGGGAGAAUG
rnacentral:lncRNA from 1 species